rnacentral:rRNA from 2 species
UACGAAGGGGGCUAGCGUUGUUCGGAAUUACUGGGCGUAAAGCGCGCGCAGGCGGCCUUACAAGUCAGAGGUGAAAGCCCGGAGCUUAACUCCGGAAUUGCCCCUGAGACUGUUCGGCUUCGAGUACGGGAGAGGUGAGUGGAAUUCCGAGUGUAGAGGUGAAAUUCGUAGAUAUUCGGAAGAACACCGGUGGCGAAGGCGGCUCACUGGCCCGUUACUGACGCUCAGGCGCGACAGCGUGGGGAUCAAACAGG